rnacentral:lncRNA from 1 species
AUGAGCUUUCCUAUUAAAACACACACACACACACCCCAAAGUAGGGAGACUGUUAGGCAAGCCAUGCUCUUACUUGCUAACCCAACUGAAAAGACAGUUACCUUUUCCGAACUGGUAUUCUUCGAGAGGUGUUGCUCAUGUCUAUCCAACUUGGGUGUGUGUGCUCACCACAUGCAGUGGUGCCGGAAGUUUUUCCCUCAGCAGUAUCUGUAGGGGACCAGUUCUGGCACCCCCUGGAGUGGCGCACACAUGAUGCGGUAUAUAGGGCGCUGCCGGUUCCCCACACCCUCAGUUCCUUCUUGCCGGAAACUUCGACAAUAGUCAGUAGACAGUAGCAGGAGGGCUGGUUGUGGAAUGGACUUGAGCAACACAUCUUGAAGAAUACCAGUUAUGGAAAAGGUAACUGUCUUUUCUUCUUCAUGUCCAUUCAACUUAGGUGACUCCCAAGCAGUACCCCUUUGGAGGUGGAUAGGAGUUCAUGGACGUGUCAAUUGCAACACCGCUCUGCCAAACCCAGCGUCGUCCCAGGCCUGGUGAGUCACAGUGUAGUGGGCCAUGAACCUGUGCACUGAGGAUCACAUUGUGGCUUGACAAAUGACCUGGAUCGGGAAGCAUGCCAGGAAGGCCACUGAAGAUGACUGCACUGUGGUUGAGUGCACUUGGUAAAUACCCAUGGUGCUGUUGCUAGGCCAAAUGGGAAGACUGCAAACUGAUAGUGGUUGGGACCUACAUAUACCAGAGGAAGAUGGCAAUGUGAAAGUAUGCAUCUUUCAGUUUAAGAGCAGCGUAUCAGUGUCCCGGAUCCAGGGAGCGGAUGAUGGAGGCCAAAGAGACAAUGCGGAACUUCAGCUUUGUUAGGAAGCGGUUCAGGUCUUGCAGGUCCAGGAUAGGUUGCAGACUGCCCUUGGCUUUUGGGAUUAAAAAGUAACGGGAAUAGAACCCCUGGUUCCUCUACUCCAGAGGAACGACCUCCACAGAAGCCACAGAGUAGCAGCCAGGAUGCAUGGUGCAUGGCGAUGGCUGAGGCCAUGGUUCGGGUGGCAGUGUUCACCGCUUCCAAACCCGCUUGAAGCAUCGCCCUGGCCGCAGUCGUGCCCUCCUCCAUAAUAGCCCGGAACUCCUUCCUAGAAGCCUCAGGAAGAGAGCCCUUGAACUUGGCCAUGGCUUGCCACCUGUUAAAAUCAUAGCAUCCCAGGAGGGCUUGAUGGUUGGCCACCCUCAACUGGAGACUAGAGGAAGAAUAAACCUUAUGCCCAAACAAGUCUAGUCUAGUCU